rnacentral:lncRNA from 1 species
UGUUUAAGGUAGGGUACAGGAGGGCAAAAGUUCCCUUUUAAAGAAAACUGAGUUGCCAAAAGCUACUGACAUCCAGCAGGUUCUGUGUCAUGCUGCUUCCCUUAAAGCAGUUAUUAAGGACUGUGCUUCUCCACGGUACCUGAUGGCUGUCAAAUGACUUAAGAAAUAUUACUCACAUUACAGAAAAUAUUAAAAGAGGCUACCAUUUUGUUGUUCUCCUCCAAAAAGCCAGAAGAAAACUGUUAAAAGCCUGCAAUUCAGGAAAUGCUAAGGCACUCAUGCCCAGAAUAUUUAGUAUGAGUGCAAAGCUCAUUGUUAACUAUAAUAAUCUAUGUUUGUCUGACAUUUAAAUUUCAGCCCAAAGUCACAAGGUUAUGUUUCCUUUUUAAAAGGUCAGUUCUUUCAGAGGAGUGCAAGACGAACAUCCUUCAAAUUUCAUAGCAGGGGUUGGCUGACUGAGUUCUAAUGAGGCUGCACGGGGGCCAGUUGUGAUGACGACUACAGCCUUAGUCAACUUCCUAAGCUGCUCUUCUAUGUUACUUAGUGGAGGAGCACUUAGAAAAUAAAGGUAUUGUGGAAUACCUCAGUAGUAUCUGUUCUGGAGCUCCUGCCCCUGGGACCUGCAAGUGCUUCCUACAUGGUAGGUAUUCAUGGUAUCAUAUACAAAAGGAAUGAUCAAGGUAGAUAUCUAGGGGAGAGAUCUGCUAUUUGACCUAUACUGCUGUAUUAUGAGGUUAGCAGCAUUGUUCUCAAGUACAAUUUCAUGUUUAGUUUGACUAUUGUAGUCACUGGCUGUACCUUUUAGAAAACAACAAAAACUAUAAACUAGUUUGUCCUACCUGGGCUUUUAAGUCAUAAAGUUUCACUCUGAAGUCUACAAUUGAACUUCAGUACAUUCAAAAGUUUAACUAGCCAUCACGGGGGGUCCACACAGUGUUAGCUAUACUGGAUUGUAUCAAACUUCCAGGAUCUGUACUUGAACAACAAGUACACUUACGACACUCUUUCAGGGGCUCAUCACUCCAGUCCCUGCAGUCCUGCUCCUGGUUACAUACUUUGCUGAUAUCUAUGCAUUCUCCACUUCUGCACUUGAAUUUUCCAGGGCCCAAGCACUGAUUGACUACAAAGAGAAA